UGGGGAAUCUUGCACAAUGGGCGAAAGCCUGAUGCAGCAACGCCGCGUGCGGGAAGACGGCCCUAGGGUUGUAAACCGCUUUCAGCAGGGAAGAAACUGACGGUACCUGCAGAAGAAGAUGCGGCCAACUACGUGCCAGCAGCCGCGGUGACACGUAGGCAUCGAGCGUUAUCCGGAUUUAUUGGGCGUAAAGAGCUCGUAGGCGGUUCGGUAAGUCGGGUGUGAAAACUCUGGGCUCAACCCAGAGACGCCACCCGAUACUGCUGUGACUAGAGAGCGGUAGGGGAGUGGGGAACUCCUGGUGUAGCGGUGAAAUGCGCAGAUAUCAGGAAGAACACCAGUGGCGAAGGCGCCACUCUGGGCCGUAACUGACGCUGAGGAGCGAAAGCGUGGGUAGCAAACAGGAUUAGAUACCCCCGUAGUCC
rnacentral:rRNA from 1 species